GAACACAUUUAUACCUCCACUGGCUUUAUACUUCCAGGUAUUGGGACUAUCCGUCCAACUUCAUAUUUUUCAAGUAAAAAUAAUUUUUAUUGCGUAUUUUUUAUUUGGCCAAGCAUUUAUUUGUCCAAAUUUUAUGACAGAUUUGAGCUCAAGAUCCUCGUCAAUAUUAAUAAUAUUGAGCGCUACAUUAUAUUAACAAUAUCGUCGGCGAUCAUUUUAUAUCGGUUCUAUUAUUACCCAAUAAAGACAUAACUUGUUGAGAUCUCUUUAUCUUAUUAUUUUCAGGUACCUGAGCCUCUCCCAUGAGGUCUUAUGAAGUGUUAUGUCGUGGUGCUCUUCUAGAGCACUUGCCUCCUUAUUAUGACCAUCUUGAACAUUUGCUCCUCUCCUUCUUCAAGGAAUUUUAUCUUUGGAACCGAUUAAUCUAUUAUGUUUCAUGCAUGCCAUAGACUCUAUUCAUUAUGAACUUUAUUUUAUUUGGAGCAUUAGCAGCUGAAUAUGACAUUUAGCUUUGGGUCAGCAAAUACGCCUG
rnacentral:lncRNA from 1 species